GCCCAUCAUAGCUCAGUCAGUAGAGCAUAAGACACUCAAUCUCAGGGUUGGGGGUUUGAGCCCUACAUUGGGCA